AGGUUCACUUGCACAUGUAUUAUUUUCAGUAAAUAUAGGAAAAUCUUUGGAGAUUUGUGAUAAUUUGGAAAAAUCUUGCUUUUCCUCUCGCCUACUUUAUCAUAAGAAUACAACAUAUAUAUAACAUAUAGCAUACAAAAUCUGUGUUAAUCACCUGUUUAUGUUAUGGACAAGGCUUCUGGUAAAAAGUAGGCUGUUAACUUUUAGUUGUAUGUGGAUAUGCAACUGUGCUCCCAACCCCUGUGUUGUUUAAGGGUCAACUGUAUUUCAUUUUGGUGCCCCAUUGCCCUCUGGAUAAAGUCCAAAUUUUUGGACUAACUUACCAAGAUCUUUCUUCCUCUUCUCUUUUAUACUCUGGGCUGGAGCCAAAUGGAGCUGCUUCAAAUCCUGAACUGGCCUUUCUCUCUACUGUUUCCUGGCCUAUGUAUAGACUGUUCCCUCCGCCUGGGGUUCUCUUGUGUGUCUUCCUCCUUCCACGUACCCUCCCGCCUUGCUCUCUCUACUAUUUGGCUACCUCCCCCUAGCUAACUCCUAUUCAACCUUCAAGUCUAUACAAGGAUUCUGCAGGGAACCCUUUCCUCAUGCCUCAGGUCUGAUGCAGCCCACACAGCCCUCUGCUCUGUGCUUACUUCAGCCUAGCAUGUAUCUUGCUUAUGGAACCUGAUUGCUCAUCCAUAACCCUUUCUAGAAUGUAACUUCCUUAAGAAUAGAACUCUGCCUUAUUCUCAGUUGCAAUCCUAGCACCUAGCACAGAGCCAGACAAAUAGUAGAUAGUAAAUUUUUACUGAAUG
rnacentral:lncRNA from 1 species